GACGAACGCUGGCGGCGUGCUUAACACAUGCAAGUCGAACGGAAAGGCCCUGCUUUUGUUUUUUGCUCGAUUGGCGAACGGGUGAGUAACACGUGAGUAUCCUGCCCUUGUCUUUGUGAUAACUUCAGGAAACUGGGGCUAAUACCGGAGAUGAUCUCCUGAUCCAUGUUGGGGGUUGGAAAGUGUCGGCGGUUGGGGAUGGACUCGCUGCUUAUCAGCUUGUUUGUCUGGUAGUGGCUUACCACGGCUAUGACGGGUAGCCUGCCUGAGAGGGUGACCGGCCUCCUUGCGCCUGAGAUACGGACCAGUAUCGUAUGGGAGGCAGUGGUGGGGAAUAUUGCACAACGGGCGGAAGUCUGAUGUAGAAGCGCUGCGUGCGUGAUGACGGCCUUCGGGUUGUAAACAGAUUUCGAAUGUGACGAAGAGUGAGUGACGGUAAUGAGUAAAGAAGCAACGGCUAACUACGUG
rnacentral:rRNA from 1 species